rnacentral:lncRNA from 1 species
UUUUGAUAUUAAAGGGGAGAAGAAGUAUUUUUUUUCCCAUUUUAGGUCCUAUAACAGCCUAUAUAGGCUGAGAUCCUAUAACAGCGAUAGGAAGAUAAAGAUGAAUGCUCAUUUGCUGAUCUUUUAGCCCCAAACACACCCACCACUUGGAGGGAAGCAAAAAUUCCAAAGAACACAGUUUAGGAAACACUGACCAGUAAGAAAGUCUCCAGUUUUGUGCCAGGAGACUGUGAAGAGUCCCUCAUCCUAGCUACCUGGAAGCCAGUAUUCUGCUAGCAUCCUUCAGAUGAAG